AAAGAGCGUAGUUUUGCAUUGUGUAUGUUUAACAUCUGACCGUAUGUCUUAUUAAAAAAAUUAUGAUUAGUGUUUUUUUGUUAUUAGAUAAUAAAAUAUGAAUAGUAUUUUAUAUGUUUAAACGAUGUUCAAAUAAGACGGGCCAUCAAAUGUUGGACACAGUAAUCCACAACAGCACUUAAA
rnacentral:pre_miRNA from 1 species